rnacentral:rRNA from 1 species
AUUGAACGCUGGCGGCAGGCCUAACACAUGCAAGUCGAACGGCAGCACAGUAAUUGCUUCCUGUUUCAGGGGCGGAGGGGCGGGCGAGGCAUAGAUACAUCGGUGGUUGCGGGGGCUAGGGUCAGGACACAGGCGCACUUACGCCAUUAGCGCUGACGGCCUAAGGGUGGAAUCAGCGGAUCUUCCGCCCUUACGUGAGUCUAGGUCGGGAUGGCGGAUUAGUUAGUUGGUGGGGUAAAGGCCCACCAAGGCGACGAUCCGUAGAUGGUCUGAGAGGAUGAUCAGUCACACUGGAACUGAGACACGGUCCAGACUCCUACGGGAGGCAGCAGUGGGGAAUAUUGGACAAUGGGCGAAAGCCUGAUCCAGCCAUGCCGCGUGGGUGAAGAAGGUCUUCGGGUUGUAAAGCACUUUAGUUUGGAAAGAAAAGCAGUAAGUUAAUACCUUGCUGUUUUGACGUUACCAAAAGAAUAAGCACCGGCUAACUUCGUG